rnacentral:rRNA from 1 species
GGAUGGGGAUGCGUCUGAUUAGCUUGUUGGCGGGGUAACGGCCCACCAAGGCAACGAUCAGUAGGGGUUCUGAGAGGAAGGUCCCCCACAUUGGAACUGAGACACGGUCCAAACUCCUACGGGAGGCAGCAGUGAGGAAUAUUGGUCAAUGGACGAGAGUCUGAACCAGCCAAGUAGCGUGCAGGAAGACGGCCCUAUGGGUUGUAAACUGCUUUUAUAAGGGAAUAAAGUGAGGGUCGUGACUCUUUUUGCAUGUACCUUAUGAAUAAGGACCGGCUAAUUCCGUGCCAGCAGCCGCGGUAAUACGGAAGGUCCGGGCGUUAUCCGGAUUUAUUGGGUUUAAAGGGAGCGUAGGCCGGAGAUUAAGCGUGUUGUGAAAUGUAGACGCUCAACGUCUGCACUGCAGCGCGAACUGGUUUCCUUGAGUACGCACAAAGUGGGCGGAAUUCGUGGUGUAGCGGUGAAAUGCUUAGAUAUCACGAAGAACUCCGAUUGCGAAGGCAGCUCACUGGAGCGCAACUGACGCUGAAGCUCGAAAGUGCGGGUAUCGAACAGGAUUAGAUACCCUGGUAGUCCGCACGGUAAACGAUGGAUGCCCGCUGUUGGUCUGAAUAGGUCAGCGGCCAAGCGAAAGCAUUAAGCAUCCCACCUGGGGAGUACGCCGGCAACGGUGAAACUCAAAGGAAUUGACGGGGGCCCGCACAAGCGGAGGAACAUGUGGUUUAAUUCGAUGAUACGCGAGGAACCUUACCCGGGCUUGAAUUGCAGAGGAAGGAUUUGGAGACAAUGACGCCCUUCGGGGCCUCUGUGAAGGUGCUGCAUGGUUGUCGUCAGCUCGUGCCGUGAGGUGUCGGCUUAAGUGCCAUAACGAGCGCAACCCCUCUCCUUAGUUGCCAUCAGGUUAAGCUGGGCACUCUGGGGACACUGCCACCGUAAGGUGUGAGGAAGGUGGGGAUGACGUCAAAUCAGCACGGCCCUUACGUCCGGGGCUACACACGUGUUACAAUGGCAGGUACAGAGAGACGGUCCCUUGCAAAACGGAUCAAAUCCUUAAAGCCUGUCUCAGUUCGGACUGGGGUCUGCAACCCGACCCCACGAAGCUGGAUUCGCUAGUAAUCGCGCAUCAGCCAUGGCGCGGUGAAUACGUUCCCGGGCCUUGUACACACCGCCCGUCAAGCCAUGAAAGCCGGGGGCGCCUAAAGUCCGUGACCGU